rfam:Egretta garzetta contig31030, whole genome shotgun sequence.
UCAGUGGCUCUAUUAAGAGCUACAAAAUUUAAACAGAAGCUUUUCU